CAACUGCCAGGCCCGGCAGAGAGCAACGUCGAGACCACGCCCAGUGCUGGACCGCAGGU
rnacentral:SRP_RNA from 11 species